GGGGCCUUAGCUCAGCUGGGAGAGGGCCUGCAUGGCAUGCAGGAGGUCAGUGGUUCGAUCCCGCUAGGCUCCACCA
rnacentral:tRNA from 1 species